rnacentral:misc_RNA from 1 species
ACAAACUUGGUCAUUUAGAGGAAGUAAAAGUCGUAACAAGGUCUCCGUAGGUGAACCUGCGGAGGGAUCAUUACAGGGCAUUAAACCCCUAAACCCACCUGUGAAUUUACCGCUAUAAUUCUUUGGCAGGCGGCCCCUGGGAGGGGCCUUCGGCCUCUAUUGGCGCCUGCCAAAAAAAAAACUCUUAUUGUUGUGGUUAUCUGAGUUGCUAUAAAAUAAGUUAAAACUUUCAACAACGGAUCUCUUGGUUCUGGCAUCGAUGAAGAACGCAGC